rnacentral:misc_RNA from 1 species
GAUGAAGAACGUAGCGAAAUGCGAUACUUGGUGUGAAUUGCAGAAUCCCGUGAACCAUCGAGUCUUUGAACGCAAGUUGCGCCCGAAGCCAUUAGGCCGAGGGCACGCCUGCCUGGGUGUCACACACCGUUACCCUCGCGCCAACGUCCAUCGUUGGCCGCGGCGCGGGGCGUGCGCUGACCUCCCGCGAGCGGGGUCUCGUGGUUGGUUGAAAAUCGAGUUCGCGGUCGAGGGUGCCGUGAUGAAAUGGUGGAUGGGCGACGCCCGAGGCCAAUCACGCGCGACUCUGUCCGGCUCGNNNUCCUGGACCCCUUCGGCGUCUCCGGACGCUCUUUGGCGAGACCUCAGGUCAGGCGGGGCUACCCGCUGAGUUUAAGCAUAUCAAUAAGCGGAGGA